GUAAAAAAUGAUGUGGUAUACUUAUGGAUUCAGGAGGGACCACAGAAAAGGCACAACAACAACAACAAGGGAGUGCGAGCCGAGCUUCUGUAGCAGAUUCGUCACACUCACGACAUGAGUGAUUUUUAGAUCUUUCUAUCCUUUAGUCAUCUAGCUUUAGGUGAAUACUUAUGUAUUUUGUAUUUUAAAAAAUUGUCAUGAUUUGAAUUGUAAUAAUAUCUUUUAAAUUGAAUGUAUGAACUUAAAUUUUAUUUUCAUGUAUUUAUAAUCUA